GUUUUCCUAGAGAUUCCAUAUCAUCUAAAGACCAAAUAUGGAUCCUGAAACUGAGAUAAAGAAGCAAUUAAAUCAUUUCUACUGCAAUAAUCUGCACAAUGUGGUGUGCUUCUGCAUUAAACUUGCAGACUCAUUUCCUUGGAUUCAAGCACAAGAUAGGCGAUGAUGAUUUGUUAAAUAAGACUGAAGAAGCUCUGAAAACUCAUGGCACUGUUAAAACUGCAAGUAGCUCAGAGGAGCAAGUGAAUGCACCUGUGAAACUUCUUGGUUAUGUGCAGACUGAGUCAGAGAGGUUUCGGGCAGACCUUGGAAGAACAACUUAAUACAUAAAAAGAUUCAGAACCUGCACUUGGUG